GUCAGAUGUGGGGGUUGCCCGCGAGAGGGCCGUUCCUGGGCGAUCAUUUAUCAAUGUCACCCACAUAAUGAUUCUCUCUGCAGCCUCCUAUUGAUGAGGAUAAUUACAUUAGCUCAGAGUGACUGAUCAAUGAAAAACCACCACACAAAAACUUCUUUACUCCUCUAUAAUACCAAAAACCGAUACAGAAAUAACAUAGAAAGCCUGAUUUUCUCUCCCUUUCCUAUCCACCAAUAGAUUCUGCCCCCCCUCCCCCCAAAAGGACUGGGAGUAAAGUAAGAAAAUAGACCCAGGUUUGUUUCGUUUAAAGGAGGAUGCAAUUUUGUCCGUGAAUGCAUUUUCUCAGAAUGCAUUGGCUUCAUUCCUCCUUUGCUAAAGAAUAUCAACGGAUUUGUUAAUAGAACCUAGUCCAGGGACAUCCAGUGUGUCAGAUCAAAUCCCAGCAACAAAGCUGCGUGAAAACUGCAAAGUCGGUCUCCAAGCUCAGAGCGGCUCGGCUGUCUCGUCCACAUAUAACAUCAGAGCGCCCCCUGCUGGCGAGCGGAGUCGACCGCUACGGGUCGGCCCCCUGCAAAGCAAAUCGUGUUUUUCGGCGUCCCCCGCCGCCCCCCCCCCCCGCCCCAUCACACUGACUCCCUUCCACCACCCCCCACCUCGGUUCUGCAGCAAAACCCCGCGGCAGAGGAAUAGCUUGCUAAGGCUGAACAUUUAAAUGAAUAAAUGAUAAAAAAAUAAAGUACGAAGGAACCCCAACCUUCACUGGCCUCCGGGGAAUAAACUAUCAAGUGACUAGGAAAGGGACACAUUUUCUUUCUCUAAUUCUUUUCUCCUCUGAGUUUUCGCUGUGAUUUGUUUGUUUCUGCCAAACUGUAGAUUCGAGUCUAAGGAAAUGUUUUUAAUAGAUGUUGUAUAAGUUUU
rnacentral:lncRNA from 1 species